rnacentral:rRNA from 1 species
UACGGAGGGUGCAAACGUUGCUCGGAAUCAUUGGGCGUAAAGCGCACGUAGGCGGACCGCUAAGUCGGAUGUGAAAGCCCUCGGCUUAACCGAGGAAGUGCAUUCGAAACUGACGGUCUUGAGUAUGGAAGAGGGUCGCGGAAUUCCCGGUGUAGUGGUGAAAUGCGUAGAUAUCGGGAGGAACGCCAGUGGCGAAGGCGACUACCUGGCCUGUUCUUGACGCUGAGGCGCGAAAGCUAGGGGAGCAAACGGG